rnacentral:lncRNA from 1 species
GUUGCACGUUCCCAGGAAAGUGUAUAUUAGGUAGGGGCCAACUUGUAAAGUGCAUUCUUAGUCAGCAGCUCUCUUACACUGUGUUGUGCCAGUGCUUUGAUGAAGGGGAACAUGUCCCCCACCCAACCGUCUGCCUUCAAAAGUAUUUAACCGCCUCACGAAAGCCAACUUGCACAAAACAUUCCUCAGAAGUGUGGCCUCCAGGAAUGCCCUCCAAGAGAAUCAAAUAAUCUUUAUCUCUUAUUCCAAAUGAAUGUAUUCUCAUUUACUAGGUUAAUUGUAUUUUUUCCUAGUUAAACCUCUUCACUCAGUCUAACUCGAGAGUUUUUGAAUCACACAGUUUUAACAGCAUUCUCAAUCAGCCAACACGAUAUCAGCAGAUAAUGAAAAGACUCAUAAAACGGUAUGUUUUGAAAGCACAAGUAGACAAAGAAAAUGAUGAGGUGAACGAAGGUGAACUGAAAGAAAUCAAGCAGGAUAUCUCCAGCCUUCGUUACGAACUUUUGGAAGAUAAGAGCCAAGCGACGGAGGAACUGGCCAUCUUGAUUCAUAAACUCAGUGAGAAACUGAACCCCAGUGCGCUGAGGUGUGAAUGAGGGAGCCACAUGCAGUGAGACUUUGACUCUGGCACAAAUGUGGGCAAUAAUAUUCCUAAGUAUGAAAUACUUGAAAAACCGUUGUGUAAAAACUCUAGUGUUAAUACCUUCACCAUGCGGAGCUUUAAAAUUAACCUAGUGGGCCACAAUUCCCAUUACGUGAAAAUGAUCCCAAGGUUGGCCUCAGCACUCCA